AACGAACGCUGGCGGCGUGCCUAACACAUGCAAGUCGUGCGAGAAAGUUCCUUCGGGAGCGAGUAAAGCGGCGCACGGGUGAGCAACACGUAGGUAACCUGCCCCCCCAGUCUGGAACAACUAGAGGAAACUCUAGCUAAAUGCCGGAUGAGACCACGAUCCCUUCGGGGGGUUGCGGCCAAAGAUGGCCUCUACUUGUAAGCUAUCGCUGAGGGACGGGCCUGCGGGCCAUUAGCUUGUGGUGAGGUAACGGCUCACCAAGGCUGUGAUGGCUAGCUGGUCUGAGAGGAUGACCAGCCACACUGGGACUGAGACACGGUCCCAGACUCCUACGGGAGGCGGCAGUGGGGAAUAUUGCGCAAUGGGCGAAAGCCUGACGCAGCGACGCCGCGUGGGU
rnacentral:rRNA from 1 species